GUUUUCCCCUUUCAUUUUUCUCUAUUUCAUAUGCAUGUACACAGAUUUCAAACAUGUUGAAGGGGGGAAAAACCGAAGUGGAAUAGUUUUUAUUUACAACUUGAAGUUUCAGGUUCAUUUGUGUCAGGUUUGUUAUUAUUGGGGUUUUUAUUUCCUACAAUAAAUAAAAUAUCUGAUCUGCCAUAUGUUAUGAAAAAGCCUGUUGUGUAUCAUUACAAGUAUAAAGCCCCCCCCCCCCAACCCCCACCCCCGAAAAAAAGUGGCUUUAAUAUUGGAUUCAUUACUGAACAAAUACUCUUUCAUGAGGAAAAGAUUUCAGACCAGAUUUUUUUGUGUAUUCACUUUUCAGAACCUUAAUCUGUGGGGAGAUUAUAAAGUAGUGUAUCUGUAACUUUCUUUGACUUCUUAAUCCUGAUAAUCCUUUAUCCCUUCUGAAACAUACAAUGUGUCUGUGGUAAUCUAAAAAGCAUUAUCCUUAAAUUGCCUAAUAUAUUUCAAAUCUCUGACAAGAAGGUUGAUACAGAUAAGGACCUGUAAUGAAUAAUAAUGGAAUGAUUAAACCAUGGUUAAAUGUAAAAUUAUGUAAAAAAAAAAAAUAAACUCACAGUAGGUUAAUUUUUUUUUUUUUAACUUUUCAAUUUUGUAUUUUUUUACAUUGAGAGACCAUGUUUGCAAAUACACAUGUAUUGAUAUUCAGUAAAAGAAUAAAUGGGAAUCAAAAUGCUCUUUUUAGGAAUUCAGAAAAACUUUUUCACAUUUAUCAGGAUUUUUUUGUUUGGUGAUGGGGGCAAUUUUGCUAGAAUUUUUGCUAUAAUUUUUUUUUCAAGAUUGUGAACUUGCAUUUAGAUGGAUAUUUUGUCUCAGUUCUAUUUACAGAUACAAAGAUUUAGUCAAAAUGUUUUUUUUUCUAAGACUUUUUUUUCUCACAAACCAAGUGCUUCAUUACACUAUUUAUAUAAUGUUUACAAACAAAGUUUUGCAUUUGAUUAGGGCAAUUUUUCACAUAUAGUUAUCAUUUUUUCAUUUAUAGAUCUUUAUUAAAGAAUUGUUAUAUGUGUUGAAUACCCUAGACCAGAGAGACCCCGGAUGUAAGAUAUUGUACACAGUUAUUGUGUGUUUUAUUUUGUUGUGAAACUACAUAAUGAAUACCAGAGUCACAUUGCUAAUUCAAAGGAGCUAGCUUUACCUGUGUUGAAAACUGAUUGUAUUGUAUGUAUAAACUGUUGAACAAAUCUUUAUCAUUUUGAAUACAUGCAGUAAUAAUUGUCUGAAAUUAAAAUAUGCAUGUAACAAC
rnacentral:misc_RNA from 1 species